CUCUUUUGUAAUAUUAGUUUCUCUUUGGACCCUUCCAGAGGUGGAAGUACUGCCUAAUCCUAGUUUAAAAGUUAUAUGCAAGUUAUUACUGUAAUUAGAAGAUGCUGUNNNNNUUUCUUUCUAUGAUAUUGAAUACAUACAAUUCAUAAUUAGAAGCAGACAAUAUUUUGUGGACUUAGCUGUUUUUUUUUCAUUCUACAAUCAAAUUUUUCUCAUAAAAAA
rnacentral:misc_RNA from 1 species